AAACGUAGGGGGCGAGCGUUAUCCGGAAUUAUUGGGCGUAAAGCGCGUGCAGGCGGCUUGGUAGGUUGGACGUGAAAGCUCCCGGCUCAACUGGGAGAGGUCGUUCAAAACCGCCAGGCUUGAGGGCGGAAGAGGGGAGUGGAAUUCCCGGUGUAGUGGUGGAAUGCGUAGAUAUCGGGAGGAACACCAGUGGCGAAAGCGGCUCCCUGGUCCGCAUCUGACGCUCAGACGCGAAAGCGUGGGGAGCGAACGGGAUUAGAUACCCCGGUAGUCCACGCUGUAAACGAUGGAUGCUAGGUGUGGGAGGUCUUGACCCCUUCUGUGCCGUAGCUAACGCGUUAAGCAUCCCGCCUGAGGACUACGGCCGCAAGGUUAAA
rnacentral:rRNA from 1 species